AUGCAUUAGAAACAACAUCACAAGCUUUAAACAAGGUCCAAAUGAAGCUCUCUAUGAAGCAUGGGAAAGAUUGAAGGGAUACACUAGAUCUUGUCAUCACCGUGGAGU
rnacentral:snoRNA from 1 species